ACAAUGGCCAAGUCUUCAUAUAUUUCCAGCAGAAAUCUUAUUCAAUAGAGUGAACCCAUGCCAUCGGUCUUAACCCACUACAAGGAUACCCCCUAUAAAGCAAUACAUAUUCUACAACAUUCUAACUAUAUGUUGCAAAAUUUGGAGUAGAUACGGAUAUAAGCAAUGUAGAAAAUGCAUUGCGGACUUGCAGCUCAUGACCCUGCUUUAGUGCAACAAAUCUUAUAUGUUGACAUGUCUUUAUUGCAAACUAUAUUUAUUAUGGGGAACGCUACGCGUUUGUCCGAUGUUUUUUAAAAUUAUCCGUCACCUAGCUAGCCGUCGG
rnacentral:lncRNA from 1 species